GACCGUUCCGGUGGCUUAGUGGUAAGAGUUUCUGUCUCUGAUGUGGGAAAUCACGGGUUCGAACCCCAACUGAGUCA